AGUGAACGCUGGCGGUAGGCCUAACACAUGCAAGUCGAACGGCAGCACAGUAAGAGCUUGCUCUUACGGGUGGCGAGUGGCGGACGGGUGAGGAAUACAUCGGAAUCUACUUUUUCGUGGGGGAUAACGUAGGGAAACUUACGCUAAUACCGCAUACGACCUACGGGUGAAAGCAGGGGAUCUUCGGACCUUGCGCGAUUGAAUGAGCCGAUGUCGGAUUAGCUAGUUGGCGGGGUAAAGGCCCACCAAGGCGACGAUCCGUAGCUGGUCUGAGAGGAUGAUCAGCCACACUGGAACUGAGACACGGUCCAGACGCCUACGGGAGGCAGCAGUGGGGAAUAUUGGACAAUGGGCGCAAGCCUGAUCCAGCCAUACCGCGUGGGUGAAGAAGGCCUUCGGGUUGGAAAGCCCUUUUGUUGGGAAAGAAAAGCAGCAGGUUAAGACCCCGCUGUUCUGACGGUACCCAAAGAAUAAGCACCGGCUAACUUCGUG
rnacentral:rRNA from 1 species